CCUACGGGAGGCAGCAGUAGGGAAUCUUCCACAAUGGGCGAAAGCCUGAUGGAGCAACGCCGCGUGGGUGAAGAAGGUCUUCGGAUCGUAAAACCCUGUUGUUAGAGAAGAAAGUGCGUGAGAGUAACUGUUCACGUUUCGACGGUAUCUAACCAGAAAGCCACGGCUAACUACGUGCCAGCAGCCGCGGUAAUACGUAGGUGGCAAGCGUUAUCCGGAUUUAUUGGGCGUAAAGGGAACGCGGGCGGUCUUUUAAGUCUGAUGUUAAAGCCUUCGGCUUAACCGGAGUAGUGCAUUGGAAACGGGGAGACUUGAGUGCAGAAGAGGAGAGUGGAACUCCAGGUGUAGCGGUGAAAUGCGUAGAUAUAUGGAAGAACACCAGUGGCGAAAGCGGCUCUCUGGUCUGUAACUGACGCUGAGGUUCGAAAGCGUGGGUAGCAAACAGGAUUAGAUACCCCAGUAGUC
rnacentral:rRNA from 1 species